rnacentral:lncRNA from 1 species
CUGGAAUGGUGAGGGAAAGAGCAAAUACAGAAACUGCCUAGGGGGUGAUUCAGGAACACAGAAAAAAACGAUCGGAGUCUAAGGUGGUGGCAAUGAAGAUGAAACUUAAAAAGCGGGCAGACCCCAGAGCUGUGCCGAACUGGAGAGACCCUCGAUGAGAGAAUCGAGUCUUCCUUAUCUGUGUAGAUGCUUCCAUUUUAGGCCCAAUGACUCCAUAAAGCACUUGCUAUUUACAUGUCUUUCUCUCACUCUUGGACUACAGCUACUGGAGGGCAAGAGUCCUGUCCUUGAAGUCUGUAUCCUCCGUCGUUAGCACAGCGUGUGGAACGAAGGGAGACUGGUGAAUCCAGGUGAAUACAAAUGAAGGAAGACCUGCUUCACCGGAAGAGCAACACGCAAAGCAUCGACACAUCGGCGACAGUUGGGCAAAGAUUUUACAGGAAGCGUGACAUUGGCAUCUGCCUGGUUUCUAGGGAGGCCUCAGGAAGCUUGCAAUCAUGGCGGAAGAUGAAGCGGGAGCAGGCGUGUUACAUGAUGAAAGCAGAAGCAAGUGAGAGACUGGGAGGGAGGCACCACACACUUUUAAAUGACCAGAUCUGGUGAGGUGCUGGGGAUACUAAAAUGAACAGGCAAAAUCCUUUCCCUUCCUCGAGGAACCAACAGUGCAACUGAGGAGAGCUAAGUAAACAGUUCUGAUGGAGGGAGACACAUGCUCUGAUAGAGGUGGUCAGAGGGUGUUGGGGGACCCAAGGGGAGAAGCCAGACUCAGCUUUGGAGACUCGGGGAAGAAUUUCCAAAGCUGCUGGUUUUCUGGACAAGGUCCCAUUAACUCCCAUCCCAAAGGUGGGAUCUUUCUUCUAGUACCUCUCAGCGCCCUGCUUCAUCUCUUAAGCAUCCAAUUCUGACAUGAAAUAGAACAUUGCUGCUAUUGGCUGAAUGUUCGUGACUGCAACAUCUAUACAUUGAAACCCUACACCUUCUGGAGGUGAGGUCUUUGGAAGGUGAUUAGGAUUAGCUGAGGUCAUGUGAGCUGAGCCCCCAUGAAUGGGAUCAGUGCCCUUAUAAGCAUCCUGAGAGAGCUUGCUUCACUCCGCUCUCCACCAUGUGAGGACACUGGGACAGGGCAGCCACCUGCAACUCGGAAAAGGGCCACACAGAACCCACCAUGCAGGUACUCUGGUCUCAGACUUCCAGCCUCCAGAACUGUCAGAAAUGAAUUUGUGCUAUUUAUAAGCCACCCAGGCAAUGGUAAUUUACUAUAGUGCCCAAACUGACUGGGACACUGGCCAUAGAAAACGAUGCUUGCUGUGGUCAGAUCACGGUCCAUGGUCAUCUUAUUGUUAGACGAGGGUUCUCCAACAGGUGCACGUGUUUCCCCAGGGUGUGCAACCUGGAGAGCUGAAUGAAAGUAUUCGAAUUUCCCUGACUGUUCAUGUCUAUCUUUACCUAAGAAUAGAAGUUGGUUAAGCUCUCCUCACACUGGGUGUGCGCCAUUCACUUCCACACUACUGAAAGGUGGCAGGGCGCAUCCCUCCUAACUGGGUGCACCACACAUAAUGCACUGCAGGCUGCAUACGUGUGACCACAGCUUACUGAUUAUCUUAUCCACAUUUAACCUAUCCAAAAUCCAAAAUAAACCAUAGAUCCAAGAAAAUUCUCAUCAUACGAGCUCAAGAGAACAAGAAAGUGAAGGUGCUAACACGUCUAACAGCAGCCACAUUUGCAGGAGAAAAUAAUUAUUUCAUUUUGCUGUUACCCUCUAUACAUUUCUUUUUUUAUUUGUAUAUUUUUGUGUUUUUUGAGAUGGAGCUUCACUCUUGUCACCCAGGCUGGAGCGCAAUGGUGUGAUCACGGCUCACUGCAACUUCUGCCUCCUGAGUUCAAGCGAUUCUCCUGUCUCAGCCUCCCUAGUAGCUGGGAUUACAGGCAUGCACCACCACACCUGGCUAAUUUUGUAUUUUUAGUAGAGAUGGGGCUUCACCAUGUUGGCCAGGCUGGUCUCAAACUCCUGACUUCAGGUGAUCCACCUGCCUCGCCCUCCCGAAGUGCUGGAAGCACAGGCAUGAGCCACCGUGCCAGGCCUAUUUGUAUAAAUUUAUGGGGUACAAGUGUAAUUUCGUUACAUGCAUAGAUAGCAUAGUCUUGAAGUCAGGGCUUUUAGCGUAUUCAUCAGCCAAGUAAUGUACAUUGUACCCAGAAAGUAAUUUCUCAUCAUCCAUUUCCCUCCACCCCUCACCCUUCUGAGUCUCCAAAGCCUAUCAUUCCACACUCUAUAUCCAGGUGCACUCAUUAUUUAGCUCCCACUUGUAAGAGACAUGUGGUGUUUGACUUUCUGUUUCUGAGUUAUUUCACUUAUAUAAUGGCCUCCAGUUCCAACCCUGUGGCUGCAAAAGACACAACUUCAUUCUUUUUUAUAGCUGAAUAGUAUUCCAUGGUGUAUGUAUACCAUAUUUGCUUAUCUAGUCAUCCAUUGGUGAAUACUUUGAUUCCAUAUCUUUGCCAUUCUGAAUAGUGCUGCGAUAACGAUAAGCAUACAAGUUAUGGUAGCUUUCUGACAUACCGACUUCUUUUCCCUUGGGUAGUGCAUGCACCCACCACAGGGGGACCUUUGUACAAGAUUGCUCAGUCCAGCUCUGCCUAGGUUUGCCCCCCCACCUCCAAGACACAGCAUAGGAUCCGGGCUCCUGGGGGUCCCAUGUCCCACAACCUUUAUACAUUUCUAUUCUAUUUAAAAUGCAGAGUGUACAAAACAUGCCUGUACAAGAGAAUAUUCACAAAUGUAUAAAUAAAUACAUAAAUUCACAAAAUGCUUAGAAAUAUUUCAGUAGUGUUUUUUUUCAUUUAAAAAUGCAUCUAGAUCAUGGAUUUAGAUUGCAAGGCUCCACCUUAAGGGAGGCAGCUCGUCCAUGUCAGGCAGCUCCUCUCGUCCUGUCCAGCUGGCUUUUGCUCACUUCUCUUCGACACCAGACCUCUGGCAUGUCCAUAUUCUGACUGCAGCCACACUCGCAAUGGAACAAGGGGACAAAAACAAUGUUUACUUAAGUACAUUGUGAAAGUCCAGAGGAACGCUUCUGUUUUCUGGCUGAAAUCUCACACGGGAAUAAAAGCGACAGAAAACUCUACCCUUUCCUGCACGUGGCCAGCCCCUGUGGACCCUGGUGACAGGCACUCUGCUCACCUUCUGCCUGGAAGUUUUGCCAAGCCCAUGAUGGUUUUAUGAAAUCCUUUCUUUGAUUUGGCUCCUGGCAGUUUGCAGUUUGAAGUCGUACCUUGUCCUGGAUGGAAACCAUGUGAAACUAUCACAUUCUAUAUUGUUCCCAUUCUAGACUAUGAAUUCACUGGGCUUCAUCCAACCCAAACCUCAGCACUGAUUUCCUCAAUGUUUGGCCCACAUUUAUAAACCUCAAAGAACCUCCCAGCAAACCUGGCUUGAAUCUAAAGUCUCUUUACCCGCAUUUACACAGGCCUGCUUUCAAACCGGUAAGCCUGCAAUAGACUGCCCUAAAACUCCAUAGCUUCCUUCCAGCCAUGUUAUAUAUAACUUCAGUAUAAUUUGUUUAAAAAAAGCACAAGAAAGAUUAUUUGGAGAUUCAAAUUGAGUACACUUAAUAGAACUAUAAUGAUUCUGGCAAUCAUUUUCGAAGCUGCAAUAACUAAUCAUUGUAGAUCUAACUAUAUAUCCUGGCAGACACAUGGAGAAUAUUAGCAGAAAUCUUCCCACAAGGCUGCUUUUAGAGCUUAGCACUGCAAUUUGCUGAACAUUCUCCAUCAC